GUGGGGAAUAUUGGACAAUGGGCGAAAGCCUGAUCCAGCCAUGCCGCGUGUGUGAAGAAGGUCUUCGGAUUGUAAAGCACUUUAAGUUGGGAGGAAGGGCAGUAAGUUAAUACCUUGCUGUUUUGACGUUACCGACAGAAUAGCACCGGCUAACUUCGUGCCAGCAGCCGCGGUAAUACGAAGGGUGCAAGCGUUAAUCGGAAUUACUGGGCGUAAAGCGCGCGUAGGUGGUUUUGUAAGUUGGAGGUGAAAUCCCCGGGCUCAACCUGGGAACUGCCUCCAAAACUGCAUGACUAGAGUACGGUAGAGGGUAGUGGAAUUUCCUGUGUAGCGGUGAAAUGCGUAGAUAUAGGAAGGAACACCAGUGGCGAAGGCGACUACCUGGACUGAUACUGACACUGAGGUGCGAAAGCGUGGGGAGCAAACAGGAUUAGAAACCCGGGUAGUCC
rnacentral:rRNA from 1 species